GACGAACCGUGCGAACGUUGUUCGGAAUCACUGGGCUUAAAGGGCGCGUAGGCGGCCGAUCCAGUCAGGGGUGAAAUCCCGCAGCUCAACUGCGGAAGUGCCUUUGAUACUGAUCGGCUCGAGGGAGGUAGGGGUCUGUGGAACUUCUGGUGGAGCGGUGAAAUGCGUUGAUAUCAGAAGGAACGCCGGUGGCGAAAGCGACGGACUGGACCUCUUCUGACGCUGAGGCGCGAAAGCUAGGGGAGCAAACGGG
rnacentral:rRNA from 1 species